UCUACUUACGAAGAGCCUAUGACCAGAAACU
rnacentral:piRNA from 1 species